UACGUAGGGGGCAAGCGUUGUCCGGAUUUAUUGGGCGUAAAGAGCGUGUAGGCGGCCACACAGGUCUGCUGUGAAAACUCGAGGCUUAACCUCGAGAUGUCGGCGGAAACCAUCUGGCUAGAGUCCGGAAGAGGAGAGUGGAAUUCCUGGUGUAGCGGUGAAAUGCGCAGAUAUCAGGAAGAACACCCGUGGCGAAGGCGGCUCUCUGGGACGGUACUGACGCUGAGACGCGAAAGCGUGGGGAGCGAACAGG
rnacentral:rRNA from 1 species